CCCGCUGAACUUAAGCAUAUCAAUAAGCGGAGGAAAAGAAACUAACAAGGAUUCCCUUAGUAACGGCGAGUGAAGAGGGAAGAGCUCAAAUUUUGAAUCGGACAUCUUUGGUGUUCGAGUUGUAAUCUAGAGAAGUGUUUUCCGUGAUGGACCAUGCAUAAGUCUCCUGGAAUGGAGUGUCAAAGAGGGUGAGAAUCCCGUUUAUGGCAUGGACUCCCAUUGCUCUGUGAUACACUCUCAACGAGUCGAGUUGUUUGGGAUUGCAGCUCCAAAUGGGUGGUAAAUGCCAUCUAAAGCUAAAUAUUGGCGAGAGACCGAUAGCAAACAAGUACCGUGAGGGAAAGAUGAAAAGCACUUUGGAAAGAGAGUGAAACAGUACGUGAAAUUGUUGAAAGGGAAACGCUUGAAGUCAGUCACACCGUUCAGGAUUCAGCCUUGCUUCUGCUUGGUUUACUUCCUGUUGGGUGGGUCAACAUCAGUUUUGAUCAGAGGAAAAAGGCUGGGGGAAGGUGCCAGCAUUUAUGCUGUGUUAUAGCCCCUUGCUGUAUACUUUGGUUGGGACUGAGGACUCCAGCACGCCUUCUGGCUGGGGUUCGCCCACAUACGUGCUUAGGAUGUUGGCAUAAUGGCUCUAAGCGACCCGUCUUGAAACACGG
rnacentral:rRNA from 1 species